rnacentral:rRNA from 1 species
UACAGAGGUCUCAAGCGUUGUUCGGAUUCAUUGGGCGUAAAGGGUGCGUAGGCGGCGCGGUAAGUCGGGUGUGAAAUCUCGGGGCUUAACUCCGAAACUGCAUUCGAUACUGCCGUGCUUGAGGACUGGAGAGGAGACUGGAAUUUACGGUGUAGCGGUGAAAUGCGUAGAUAUCGUAAGGAAGACCAGUGGCGAAGGCGGGUCUCUGGACCACAACUGACGCUGAGGCGCGAAAGCUAGGGGAGCAAACAGG